UUCUUCUAGCUAACAAUGUGAAAAUGCGUGCAGUGCCUGAUUUUUCCCUAUAUAAACCAUCUUCUUGAUGAAACCCAUACCACCACAAAAUGUACCACACACUAGCUAGCUACGCUUCCAGUCUUUUUCUAGAUCUCUCUUUAAUUUGAGCAGCGGCCAGCGGCAUACUAAUUGAAGUUCAUUCAUCUUUGAAUUUAGAAACAUCCAGUUAGCUAUAUAUCAUAUCGUAUCGAAUGAGGUCAUCAGGGGUAUGGAGAAGAGGCGUACGGCUUGUAAGAGGGAGAAAAAGAAGAAUAUCGACGCCUUCUUGUGCUAACAAAUUAUACAUGACUGGUACUACUACGGCAGCACAGAGGACGCUGAGGAAGCUGAAGAGGAUAAUUCCCGGGUGCCAAUUAGUGAUGGACACCGAGACUUUGUUUCAGAAGACGGCCGAUUACAUAUUUCUCCUUGAGCUCCAUCUCAACUUUCUCAAGAAUAUGUAUACUCUAUGUGGAGAGCGAGCUAGCUAGCUAAAAAUAGUACCUCAUCUUAAAAAAUCAUAUUCCGUGGCACAAUAUAUAUAUAUCUUCGUUGCAUCAGACUAUUCCUUUUCGCCUCUUUGGUGGGAAAAAAAAUGAUCCAUAUAAACGGCAGGGGAGUGUGUG
rnacentral:lncRNA from 1 species